rnacentral:lncRNA from 10 species
GGCUGGGGCAGGGGAACCCGGGCCAGGUCCUGAGAACAAAUGGGGUUAUUCAGCUCCUAAAGGUGCAGGACUCAGCCCAAAGUCCCUGGUGACCCAAAGAGGACCAUGUGAGUCUGAUGUGGCUGUGGAAGGCGGGGCUCACAGCAGGCUGCCGGGGCACCAUUAAUGGGGGAGGGUCCUGUCCCCAGCGCAUACGUAGACGGCCCUUCAGAACCUGCUCAGUGGUCAGUGCGGCCGUGCAGCUGCACCCCGGCCUGGUCACCUGUGCUGUGCCCAGCAAGGAAGAUGCCCCCGCUCAGCCCGUCCAUGCACCCUCCAGAGGCUGUCAGCUGCCUGAGACCCACACUGGCUCUUGCAGGCUAGAGGAGAGUUCAAUGGCCAUUCGGGCCCUGUCGCCAUGGAAACACCAACUUUGGGUACCAAAAGCCUGAAUGUACAAAUUCAUGGAGUAUGACCUGCCUGGUGCCAGUGGGUCUUUGCAUUUUUCUGGGGUGCCAGUGGGUCUUUGCGUUUUUCUGGGGUGCCAGUGGGUCUUUGCGUUUUUCUGAUGCCCUCUGAACUCUUAGGUCCCGGUUCUGGCGGAUUUGGCCCAGGCACCCCCAGCCCCCAGAUCUGGCCGGGUGCGGCGGCUCAUGCCUGUAAUCCCAGCACUUUGGGAGGCCGAAGCAGGUGGAUCACAUGAAGUCAGAAGUUGGAGACUAGCCUGGCCAACAUGCCAGCCUCCAGCAUCGCCUCCUCUGGGAUCUUCUCUGACUUCCCAGUCGGUUUCAGAAGCCUCUGAUGACCCCAUGCGGAGAAGACUGCUCCCCUCACUGCUGGCACACGGCAGAUGCUCAGUAAGUAUCGUUCAAUGACUGACUAAAUGUCUCAUAAUAUCCUUCAUAAACAAGGGCCUGGUGUGGAUUCAUAAAUGGGUCUCUCAAAGUUUAAUUGGUGAGACUCUGUUGUAUCAGACAAUGAAGGGUUAAAAGAUAAUAUUCAAAAAAGUAAAAUCAUGACACACAAAUCUAGAAUGAACACACAUUGAUAAGGUUUGGAUCUGUGUCCUCACCCAAACCUCAUGUCGAACUGGGAUCCCCCGUGUCAGAGGCGGCCGCGUGGGAGGUGACCGGAUCGCGGGUGGACCCUUCAUGAAGGGUUCAGCACCAUCCCCUUGGUGCUGUCCUGGGACAGAGUUCUCUUGCGAUCUGGUUGUUUAAACGUGUGUGGCCCCUUCCCCCUCUCUUUUCCUCCUCCUCCUGCCGUGGGAGACACUUGCUCCAGCUUCGCCUUCCGCCGCGAGUUGAAGCUCCCCGAGGCCUCCUCAGAAGCAGAAGCCACCACGCUUCCUGUACAGCCUGUGGGACCCGGAGCCAGUUCAACCUCUUUUCUUUAUAAAUUACCCAGACUCGGCCGGGCACGGUGGCUCACGCCUGUAAUCCCAGCACUUUGUUGAGACCGAGGCAGGCAGAUCACGAGGUCAGGAGAUCGAGAACAUCCUGGCUAACACGGUGAAACCCCGUCUCUACUAAAAAUACAAAAAAUUAGCCGGGCGUGGUGGCGGGCGCCUGUGGUCCCAGCUACUCGGGAGGCUGAGGCAGGAGAAUGGUGUGAACCCGGG